CUACGGGGGGCUCCAGUGAGGAAUAUUGCACAAUGGAGGAAACUCUGAUGCAGCAACGCCGCGUGGAGGAUGACGCAUUUCGGUGUGUAAACUCCUUUUAUAUGUCAAGAAAAUGACGGUAGCAUAUGAAUAAGCACCGGCUAACUCCGUGCCAGCAGCCGCGGUAAUACGGAGGGUGCAAGCGUUACUCGGAAUCACUGGGCGUAAAGGACGCGUAGGCGGGAUAUCAAGUCAGGUGUGAAAUCCUACAGCUUAACUGUAGAACUGCACUUGAAACUGGUAACCUAGAGUAUGGGAGGUGGAGAUGGAAUUAGUGGUGUAGGGGUAAAAUCCGUAGAUAUCACUAGGAAUACCUAAAGCGAAGGCGAUCUCCUGGAACAUAACUGACGCUAAGGCGUGAAAGCGUGGGGAGCAAACAGGGUUAGAUACCCGAGUAGUC
rnacentral:rRNA from 1 species